UACGGAGGGUGCGAGCGUUGUCCGGAAUCAUUGGGCGUAAAGAGCGUGUAGGCGGUUUGGUAGGUCCGCUGUGAAAACUCGAGGCUCAACCUCGAGACGCCGGUGGAAACCAUCAGACUAGAGUCCGGAAGAGGAGAGUGGAAUUCCUGGUGUAGCGGUGAAAUGCGCAGAUAUCAGGAAGAACACCCGUGGCUAAGGCGGCUCUCUAGUACGGUACUGACGCUGAGACGCGAAAGCGUGGGGAGCGAACAGG
rnacentral:rRNA from 1 species